rnacentral:rRNA from 1 species
UACGGAGGGAGCUAGCGUUAUUCGGAAUUACUGGGCGUAAAGCGCACGUAGGCGGCUUUGUAAGUCAGAGGUGAAAGCCUGGAGCUCAACUCCAGAACUGCCUUUGAGACUGCAUCGCUUGAAUCCAGGAGAGGUGAGUGGAAUUCCGAGUGUAGAGGUGAAAUUCGUAGAUAUUCGGAAGAAACACCAGUGGCGAAGGCGGCUCACUGGACUGGUAUUGACGCUGAGGUGCGAAAAGCGUGGGGAGCAAACAGG